rnacentral:lncRNA from 14 species
UAAGGAAAUUUUGGCAAAGAAGUUCCUGGGAAGAGUCAACUUGUUUUGGGAAAUGAGACUAAUAUUCAGUAAGUGAGAUAUUUCCCUUUGCUCUCCUUUGCAAUACUGUCCCAUCUCAGCACAAGGCUGAAUUUAUUGCUGUAAUAGCUGUGAUUCAGACAAAGCAUAAUCAUUUCCCAGAGUUGGUUUUUGGGUUUUUUUUGUUUUUCACAAAAAGUGAAGUUUUAGCCAGGACACUAUAGCAAAAAUUUCAUUUAGGGAAAUUCUACUUAUUAAAAAUUUCCCUUUUAAAAUCUGUCCCAAACUACUGGUUGCUUUUUCUUUGAGCACUCUGAAAGGGAUAAUUCACUUUAAAUUCACAGCUUUCCAAAUUCUGAAGCCUGCUGAAAUUUUCCUGGACUGCCUGAGCCAGAAUGUGCAGCUCCAGCUAAGAUAUCUAGAGAUCCUGCAAGACUAUUUUAUCCAUUAUGUGACCUUCUUACUUGACAUUCCUUUGUCAUUGUUCUGAAUCCAAGCACAAAGAGCUGAAGAAGGCUGGGAUGCAGAGGAGGGGAGAGGCCAGGAUUGUCCCCCAGAGCUCCCAAAGCAGGUGUGCCUGGGCAGGUCUGGGCUCUCACACUGCAGCCAAGGCUUUCAAGUGGGGUGACACAAUUCAAGAGAGGAUACUGAUGAAAUCACACUCAAACCUGAGUCUGAACAAGUCAGCAGAGCUCAGCUUCUGGGAGUGAGUAAUGUUAAAACCAAGUAUACG